GAGAGAAAUCCAUCUCUAAAA
rnacentral:snRNA from 1 species